UACGUAGGGAGCAAGCGUUGUCCGGAAUCAUCGGGCGUAAAGCGCGCGUAGGUGGCUUCGUAAGUCCGUUGUGAAAGUCAAAGGCUCAACCUUUGAAAGCCGAUGGAUACUGUGAAGCUAGAGUACGGAAGAGGCGAGUGGAAUUCCUGGUGUAGCGGUGGAAUGCGCAGAUAUCAGGAGGAACACCGAUGGCGAAGGCAGCUCGCUGGGACGGUACUGACGCUGAGGCGCGAAAGCGUGGGGAGCGAACAGG
rnacentral:rRNA from 1 species